CGAACGGUCGCGUAACACGUAAGCAACCUGCCCAAAGACCGGACAACAUUCCGAAAGGAGUGCUAAUACCAGAUACCCCCACCAGGCCGCAUGACCAGGUGAGGAAAUGGAUUCCGCUUCGGGAGGGGCUCGCGGGCUAUCAGCUUGUUGGUGGGGUAACGGCCUACCAAGGCAACGACGGCUAGCUGGUCUGAGAGGACGACCAGCCACACUGGGACUGAGACACGGCCCAG
rnacentral:rRNA from 1 species